ensembl:lncRNA
UUCUGAGUUGGAAAAACAAGGAGGUUUCACAUGUGAAACUCCACCACACUUUUUUUUUUCUUUUAUUUUCUUCUUUACUAGAAGCUUCUGCUCCAGUAAAGAAGAGAGUAUAAGUGCAAAGUUGUGACUGUUAAGAGCUCAGACGUUGAUUAACUCCUCUCUAACUCUUAUGCUAUAAGAAAAAUCUCAUCUGCAGAAGGAAAAUGCCAGCAGACAAAAACGGCAGACCCACGAUUUUGUUGACUCCAGGUAUGACAGGAAAAGAAAUGAAUCUGUGUAGUCAUUCCAGGCACUGGAACCUGUAAAUGAAGCCAAGGAUCCGUUAUUACAGGAGAGACACAUGUAGGCAUAUGAGCCCGAAGACAGCUGCCAAACCAAAAGAUGGAGCAAUGGAGAAGUAAGUUCAAGUUUUACAAAGACAUGUGUGACCACGGUACCAGUUUAGGGAGAAUCUCAGGCAGAAGGUGUUUAGCCCCCCCAAGUCCCAAGCCUGAAGCCUUUCCCUUACCAUUUAGCUCCACUCUUCAAGCUUGAUGGGCCCAUGGGUAUUACGAGUAUUGUGAGUGGUAGACAUGCUGGUGGUGGAGAACAGGGUAGGAGAUUAUUCACACAAGGUGAGUCACACUUGGCUGAUGCAAAGACACAGGGCUCAAAGGAGUAUCACACCUCCUAAUUGAUAAAUAGACAUCAUGCUGAUUGCUGCUUAGGAAAAUCUCCAUCCUACGCCUGCAGGAAGAAAAAUUAGUGUGGCCCUUGACUACAAGAGAUGUACAGGGCUCACAAGGGUGGGGCCUGGGACGCUCAGUUGGUUCCUCUUGGUCCCCAGCUGUGGUUAAUCCAAGUGUUAAUGGGCUGGGCCAUCUUCAUAUACUGACCCUGCUCACCUGCCAGUUCCCUUUGGAUGAUGGCACCACCUCUCUCCUCUCUCCCCUGUGACCUCUUUUGGUUAUUUCCUCUUCACCUUUUCUGUCCUUUUGCCAGAGGAUCAUUUUCUAAUCUGACGAUUGGGACGAACAGAAGCCUUUCUAUUUCCCAAGUUUUAUUUUUCUCCCAUUUCAUUAGCCAAAGCAAAUCAUAUACCCUAGCCAAAUAUCAGUAUGGUAAGCUUUGUAGUCCGCUUUUAGGGAACAGCCAUUAUGCUGCCCCAAGCUCCUUCCGAUGAGUCUGCUGUGGACAGAAUUGGACCUGUAGACUAGUGAGAGGACCAACUUACUCCAGAGUGGAGCAUCAAAGAGGCAGAGGGAAGGGAUUUUGAAAUGAAGCUUGAAAGAAGUACAGAAACCCCAGGAAGAUUCUGGCCUCAGUAAAGACAGUAUAAACCUCGGCAGAAUGCAAAGAUUAGUAAGUAGUAAUUGAUAAAAUUUAGUUAAUGAGUGAGCUGCAUGUUUGAUCAUCUUAACUUAAAAGAUAAAAAUGUUACUGGUUCAUUACACGCAAUAGGAACUUUGAACCUUGGUUUGAUUGGGUUUUGGUGGGAAUGACAGUGAAAUAUAAUAAUAAAGUCUUUGGGAAAAAUUGUGUUUGAUGAGUAAGGGGACCUCCAAAGUUACCCAGAGUUUGGCAGAUAUUAUUUGUGUCAAUUGAAGAGUUUCAGUCUAUAUUUGAAAGGAAACUUCUUGUUUUGUUGUUUGUUGUUUUUGUUGUUGCUGCUGCUGUGGUUUCUGUUGUUGUUGUCUUUCCUCUUCCCCCCCCUCCUCCUCUUUCUUCUUCUUCCUCCUCCUCUCUUCUUUCCCUCUUUUUCUUUUCCUCAUCACUAUUUACAUCACCCUUUUCCAGGUCUUUCAGUGUUUCAUCAAGUGCCAAGGGGUUCUUUCAAAAUACACUAUUUCGACACUAAAAGUAUACACCAAUUGUCUCUGUUAGGAUUAUAUUUGCCUGCAUGGAAUGGAAAAUUCCAGAACAAUGUGAUGUAAACAUACAAGGGCUCAUGAUCUCACAUUAAGGACAUCCAAGGUCAGCCGUCCAGGUGUCAUCAACCUGACACGUAGAAGGAGGGAGAGAUAAGGUCACACAUCAAACUACUGGCAGAACUUGGACAGCUGGAAAACAAGACGCAUUUUGUAACUUGAACAACAGAACUCCAAAUGAUUUCUAAAUUUAGCUCAUUUUGAACUUGCUUUUUUUCUCCUUAUCUUCUUUUUUCCGAUUUCUUUCUGCUCUUGUUGGUUUUAUCUUCCCUUUGCAGCAUCCAUGUAAUGAAAUGCACUGCUUGGUCCUUUUCAUGAGGAAGACAGAAGGUGUCAGAAACACAGAAGUCGCUAUCUCUGAGAUGGAUCUUGCAAGACUCAGACCUCCAUGCUCUGGUCUGGAUAUCCCUCAGUGAAAAAGGAGGCCAGCAGUACCUCCCACUGGGGACCAGGAGCCUGCCAGUACAGGAUGCAGCCAGUGCACAAAGCUGGUAAGAGAAGGGCAGAAAUGGAUGGAGAAGGAAAGAAGAAUAACUCAGCAGCACAGCUACGUCAGCUUGUGAACCCAGCUCUAACCAAUCUGAAAGGUUAUAUCUACUCCUCUACUCACCUUUCAUAUUUAUGAGUGUGCAUGG